rnacentral:rRNA from 1 species
GACGAACGCUGGCGGCGUGCUUAACACAUGCAAGUCGAACGGAAAGGCCCUGCUUUUGUGGGGUGCUCGAGUGGCGAACGGGUGAGUAACACGUGAGUAACCUGCCCUUGACUUUGGGAUAACUUCAGGAAACUGGGGCUAAUACCGGAUAGGAGCUCCUGCUGCAUGGUGGGGGUUGGAAAGUUUCGGCGGUUGGGGAUGGACUCGCGGCUUAUCAGCUUGUUGGUGGGGUAGUGGCUUACCAAGGCUUUGACGGGUAGCCGGCCUGAGAGGGUGACCGGCCACAUGGGAACUGGGAUCCGGCCCAGACUCUUCCGGAGGCAGCAGUGGGGAAUAUUGCACAAUGGGCGGAAGCCUGAUGCAGCAACGCCGCGUGCGGGAUGACGGCCUUCGGGUUGUAAACCGCUUUCGCCUGUGACGAAGCGUGAGUGACGGUAAUGGGUAAAGAAGCACCGGCUAACUACGUG